GGCAAAGGUAUUCUAAAUGUAAAAACAGGGAAAAAGAGCAUGCACAAUGAAAUAUCCAAUAUUAGAUAACACAUGCAUCCCUAUAUCUUUCCAAGCAACAUAAUCAUGUGCACUAGUUGCAAAAAAUGCGUCCAGCUCAUCUAGGCUUUGAAAGCAAUGAUGAACUCUGUACUUGAUUCAUCAUGUGCACUAAUGCACACACAAACCCAAACAUGCAUCCCCAUUGAAUUGCUUUCAUGUUACGCUGUCAUAUCCAGUGCACUCUGAACCUCUACGCAAAUAUCUUCAUAAUGAGGUCUUAAAGCAGUAGAGAUAAAGCCUCUGUACACUUGACAUUAGUUCAUUAGUGCCCACGAAUACCGAGCAGACACUGCCGUUCUCCGCUGCAUCACUCGAGCAGGAAUCUACACUGUUCUCCCGCACGUUUCCCAUCACAGCACCGACACUUAAUAUGCCAUAUCUCUCCUCAGGCAGGUGGCCUCCCACUCGAAAGCUGCCGAUGCGCUGACACACCGGACAACUCCAGCGGCCCCGACACUGUCAGGACGCCUGAAUGAGCCUUAUUAGGGGCUGUUAGUGCUGAAUGUCAUGUUUGUACAGCUCUUGUAAGAGGAAAUGAGCUCCACUGAGAGAGAGAGAGAGAGAGAGAGAGAGAGAAAGAGAGAGAGAGAGAGAGAGAGAUCAGCGCCUUCUAUCAGCGCCUCUCCACAAGCUUUAACAAGGAGUUUCCAAAAGUCAGCGGUCCGAUCGGAGUAACGAGAUUCCACUCCAGCUGCCGGAGUCACGCGCCGCAUCCGCAAAGAAUGAAUGAACACUGAUGAAAUUCUUCCACUGUAAUGAUGCAUGCUGGGAGCAGAGAUGAGCAAACACCCGGCACUGUGCUCAGUAACAGGUGUCAGCACUCGACAGUAAUUACAUCAGCAAUCACGCACACACCCAACGCAGUCUCGUCCAAAUGUCACUCGUGCGAUGACGACAAAACAACAAACACCGGUGCUGAUCUGAGACUCAACCUUCAAAUCACGCAGAGAAUCAAUAAUGUGGAACUACACAUGUUCAUGCGUUUUCAGAGGACCUGAUCUAAGUGCACCGAUAUGAGACAUAAAGCAUGAAUCUCCAUAUUGACUAUUCAUUAUAAUGUUUACAUAUUUGCUCUAAAAUGGCUUUGAAUACAGAUUCUCCUUAUUUAGAGGAACAAUCUUUUCAACCAAACUGCAACUUUAGCAAAGCAGAUUCAGUUAGAUUUUGCAAUAAUGAAUAAAUAAUGUAUAAUACUUGAUAAUUG
ensembl:lncRNA